ACGGGUGCGUAACGCGUGGGAAUCUGCCCUUUGGUUCGGAAUAACCGUUGGAAACGACGGCUAAUACCGGAUGAUGACGUGAGUCCAAAGAUUUAUCGCCAGAGGAUGAGCCCGCGUGAGAUUAGGUAGUUGGUGGGGUAAAGGCCUACCAAGCCGACGAUCUCUAGCUGGUCUGAGAGGAUGAUCAGCCACACUGGGACUGAGACACGGCCCAGACUCCUACGGGAGGCAGCAGUGGGGAAUAUUGGACAAUGGGCGCAAGCCUGAUCCAGCAAUGCCGCGUGAGUGAUGAAGGCCUUAGGGUUGUAAAGCUCUUUUACCCGGGAUGAUAAUGACAGUACCGGGAGAAUAAGCCCCGGCUAACUCCGUGCCAGCAGCCGCGGUAAUACGGAGGGGGCUAGCGUUGUUCGGAAUUACUGGGCGUAAAGCGCACGUAGGCGGCUUUGUAAGUUAGGGGUGAAAGCCUGGAGCUCAACUCCAGAAUUGCCUUUAAGACUGCAUCGCUUGAAUCCGGGAGAGGUGAGUGGAAUUCCGAGUGUAGAGGUGAAAUUCGUAGA
rnacentral:rRNA from 1 species